UACGUAGGGGGCAAGCGUUGUCCGGAAUUAUUGGGCGUAAAGAGCGUGUAGGCGGUCCGGUAAGUCGGCUGUGAAAGUCCAGGGCUCAACCCUGGGAUGCCGGUCGAUACUGCCGGACUAGAGUUCGGAAGAGGCAAGUGGAAUUCCCGGUGUAGCGGUGAAAUGCGCAGAUAUCGGGAGGAACACCAAUUGCGAAGGCAGCUCGCUGGGACGGAACUGACGCUAAGGCGCGAAAGCGUGGGGAGCGAACAGG
rnacentral:rRNA from 1 species